GGUUCCGUAGCGCAGGGGGAGCGCACCCGGUUGUCAGCCGGAAGGUCGCGGGUUCAAAUCCCGUCGGGACCGCCA
rnacentral:tRNA from 1 species